AAGGAAACCAAUAAAAUCAAUCAUCUUCAGUUUUGAAAGACUUAGGAUAACUAAGUUUUUCUUCGUGACUUCACGAAGGGCCUAUAGCUCAGUUGGUUAGAGCACACGCCUGAUAAGCGUGAGGUCGGUGGUUCAAGUCCAUUUAGGCCCACCAGAGUUAUAGGUGUCGUAAGAACACAAAUUCUUUGAAAAUUAGGUAAAUAAUAGUUAUUUUCCGGAACAU
rnacentral:misc_RNA from 1 species